GGAAGGACCUACACGGAGCAUUUUCGACCGAAACAACUUCAGAGUUCCUGCCAUUCUAUAGCUCAGCCCAGUCCAAAGUCCCCUGGGAUGACCUUUUUUACUUCCGCUUUCGAAGUAACUAGAACUUCACUGGAGGCAGGUUGUGAUCUUCUCCUUGAGCCCAUUCUAGGAGAAGCAUUCAAGUGCGAGUGCCUCUUGGCAGCCUUGUUUGUUCCCCUUCCUAAGAAUAUUUUCCCAGUCCAGAGUCGGAUUAGAAGCCUGCUGUUUCCAGCCCCUGCAGCUGCACACACUCUUGGACACUGACCACAAGUUCAACCAGGUGCAAACUGUCUCUGGAGCCAGGCCUUGUAGAUGCACUGAGCUGCCCAGGAGCCUCUGAGAAACCCCCUGGCUCAUCUGGAUGGGGCUUCAAUUUCAAGAGAGCCCUGCUGAGAAGGUGAAUCCACACAGAAGCAAGAGAGCCCACGGGACACCAGAGAACGUUUUACAGUUUUCUACACCUGCUGGGGAAACGAGUACCUCGUUGUCAGAAUGAACAUUUGGUGCCUCCAGUGUGCUCCACUUUCUGCUCUGAAGAAGAUGGUGGGUGUUCCCUGUUUCUUCUCUGCUGGCUUUCUCCCCACUCUCCUCCUUCUCCAGAUGUCCACGUGGUGCUCCGCAGUGUCCGGGUUUUCUGUAAAGGGACCAGCUCAGCCCAUCAUGGUGUUGCUAGGGGCAGAUGCCACCCUGCCCUGCCAGCUGUCCCCUGAGCAGAAUG